UGAUGAUUUUGCAAAGGGGUUUCCCCCUUUGCUUGGCUCUCAUUCUCUCUUGUCUGCCACCAUGUAACAUGUGCCUGCUGCCUUCCACUAUGGUUUUGAGGCCUCCCCAGCCACGUGAAACUACUAAAUCCUGCGGAGCAGGCUCACAGCACAGGGCUGCUUACGGAGAAGACAAGACGACAGGAUGCACGAGGAGAGUGUGUGACAAUGUGAUUCCCCAGCAGAUGACCUACAGUAAUGACACAGUACAGAGGGUGUCCAAAGAAACAUUGUAAGGGGCCCAUGGGGCUGUGAAGCAUUGAGAAAUCUGAGCUGAGCUCUCACCAGCCUGGUAAAUUCCACUGGCACCAAGAUGCUGAGCCAAUUUAAAUGCAAAGCAAAAAACUUGCAAUGUUUGCCAGACUCUUUAAAAUGUAAUUAUAGCAACCCAUUCAAGGAUCAGUUUAACGUAUAAGCAACUUGGAGAAGACUGCUGAUCCCAUUCAAACAUUUUACAUUCCACAUACCUACGCAAUGACAUUACCUGGAGG
rnacentral:lncRNA from 1 species